AGAACCUCCACAGAGACAGAAACAUAGGGCAGAAAAUUAGGUGACAGUUCAAAAACAACAACAGAAAGAACGGAAAGAACGGAAAGAACCUCCACAGAGACAGAAACAUAGGGCAGAAAAUUAGGUGACAGUUUAAAAGCAACAACAGAAAGAACGGAAAGAACGGAAAGAACCUCCACAGAGACAGAAACAUAGAGCAGAAAAUUAGGUGACAGUUCAAAAACAACAACAGAAAGAACGGAAAGAACGGAAAGAACCUCCACAGAGACAGAAACAUAGGGCAGAAAAUUAGGUGACAGUUGAAAAACAACAACGGAAAGAACGGAAAGAACCUCCACAGAGACAGAAACAUACGGCAGAGAACUAGGUGACAGGUCAAGAACAGCAACGGAAAGAACGGAAAGAACCUCCACAGAGACAGAAACAUAGGGCAGAAAACUAGGUGACAGGUCAAGAACAACAA
rnacentral:lncRNA from 1 species